rnacentral:miRNA from 1 species
UCCUGGGACAUCUCUCUUGCAG